rnacentral:piRNA from 1 species
UAGAAGACAUCUGUAAAAUCUAACCUCAGC